rnacentral:rRNA from 1 species
GCAGAGGAAUAUAGUUGAAAGAAUUAUAGCCGCAAGGUCUCUGUGAAGGUGCUGCAUGGUUGUCGUCAGCUCGUGCCGUGAGGUGUCGGCUUAAGUGCCAUAACGAGCGCAACCCUUAUCAUUAGUUACUAACAGGUCAUGCUGAGGACCCUAGUGAGACUGCCGUCGUAAGAUGUGAGGAAGGUGGGGAUGACGUCAAGUCAUCAUGGCCCUUACGACCAGGGCUACACACGUGCUACAAUGGCAUAUACAAAGAGAAGCGACCUCGCGAGAGCAAGCGGACCUCAUAAAGUAUGUCGUAGUCCGGAUUGGAGUCUGCAACUCGACUCCAUGAAGUCGGAAUCGCUAGUAAUCGUGGAUCAGAAUGCCACGGUGAAUACGUUCCCGGGCCUU